rnacentral:rRNA from 1 species
GAUGAACGCUAGCGGCAGGCCUAAUACAUGCAAGUCGAACGAGAUUAAGAGGCUUGCUUCUUAUGAAAGUGGCGCACGGGUGCGUAACGCGUAUGCAACCUACCUUAAUCAGGGGGAUAGCCCGAAGAAAUUCGGAUUAAGACCGCAUAAAAACACAGGAUAGCAUUAUCCAAUGUUCAAAUAUUUCUAGGAUUAAGAUGGGCAUGCGUGUCAUUAGCUAGUUGGCGGGGUAACGGCCCACCAAGGCGACGAUGACUAGGGGAUCUGAGAGGAUGACCCCCCACACUGGUACUGAGACACGGACCAGACUCCUACGGGAGGCAGCAGUAAGGAAUAUUGGUCAAUGGAGGGAACUCUGAACCAGCCAUGCCGCGUGCAGGAAGACAGCCCUCUGGGUCGUAAACUGCUUUUAUUCGGGAAUAAACCUUUCUACGUGUAGGAAGCUGAAUGUACCGAAGGAAUAAGGAUCGGCUAACUCCGUG